rnacentral:rRNA from 1 species
CCAGAGAAUUUAGCAGAGAUGCUUUAGUGCCUUCGGGAACUCUGAGACAGGUGCUGCAUGGCUGUCGUCAGCUCGUGUUGUGAAAUGUUGGGUUAAGUCCCGCAACGAGCGCAACCCUUAUCCUUUGUUGCCAGCACGUAAUGGUGGGAACUCAAAGGAGACUGCCGGUGAUAAACCGGAGGAAGGUGGGGAUGACGUCAAGUCAUCAUGGCCCUUACGAGUAGGGCUACACACGCGCUACAAUGGCGCAUACAAAGAGAAGCGACCUCGCGAGAGCAAGCGGACCUCAUAAAGUGCGUCGUAGUCCGGAUUGGAGUCUGCAACUCGACUCCAUGAAGUCGGAAUCGCUAGUAAUCGUAAAUCAGAAUGUUACGGUGAAUACGUUCCCGGGCCUUGUACACACCGCCCGUCACACCAUGGGAGUGGGUUGCAAAAGAAGUAGAUAGCUUAACCUUCGGGAGGGCGUUUACCACUUUGUGAUUCAUGACUGGGGUGAAGUCGUAACAAGGUAAGCGUAGUGCU